CCUACGGGGCGCUGCAGUGAGGAAUAUUGGUCAAUGGACGAGAGUCUGAACCAGCCAAGUAGCGUGAAGGAUGACUGCCCUAUGGGUUGUAAACUUUUUUUAUAUGGGAAUAAAAUGUUCCACGUGUGGGUUUUUGUAUGUACCAUAUGAAUAAGGGUCGCCUAACUCCGUGCCAGCAGCCGCGGUAAUACGGAGGAUCCGAGCGUUAUCCGGAUUUAUUGUGUUUAAAGGGAGCGUAGGUGGAUUGUUAAGUCAGUUGUGAAAGUUUGCGGCUCAACCGUAGAAUUGCAGUUGAAACUGGCAGUCUUGAGUACAGUAGAGGUGGGCAGAAUUCGUGGUGUAGCGGUGAAAUGCUUAGAUAUCACGAAGAACUCCGAUUGCGAAGGCAGCUUACUAAACUGACACUGACAUUGAUGCUCGAAAGUGUGGGUAUCAAACAGGAUUAGAUACCCCGGUAGUC
rnacentral:rRNA from 1 species